GAAGUUCCUGACGUGUGCUAAUGAGGACAAGGGAUGAUGGACAAAGGGGUGAGUUCAUUUCAGUCCUGCCACCAAUACUUUGCUAUUCAAUUUGGAGACAACUGAGCACAUCCAGAGAGGACUCAGUGUUGCCUCAGUUAACCCAUCUACGUGACAAAAAUGGCAAGGCUUAUGAGCUCCCAGCUGUACCACCAUUCCACAUGACCAUGAAGAAUUUCAAGGAAUUUCAAGGGAAUUUCAAGGAAGUCAGUGAAACCUUGUGAAAAUAAAAGCAGUCACAAAUCUCA
ensembl:lncRNA